AGGGCUGUUUCCAGCUCUCAUAAAAAACGAAAAAUUCAUAUAAAGUGACGCACAAGAAAUGGAAAAAAAAUUCAUAAAAUCAAAAAAAUUUGUUCG